GUUUAACCGUCCCCUUAGCGGGUGGCUACACGCAGAACUGUGUAUAUAGAGAUAUUCUUUACUCAGCAGGCUGGGGCCUCUUUUUGGAAUAAACGAUUAGCUGCGCUUCUUGCCAAAGAACUGUUUGCUGGGAAACUCACACAGCAUGGUGCAGCACCCGCUGCACCCUCUGAACUUCAUCAGAAAUGUGUGAAGGCAUUUUCUUUCUACUGCAAUCAGAAUUCUUUCCUAGUGGUCACGUUAAUAUAUGAGUGUACAAUUUCGCAAUUCAGGAUCUGGUAAAUAGCCUUAUUUUUCUGCAGCAGUGCAUACAUCUGCACAAUUUUGACCACCUGUGCCAGGACCCUGCUGUCGCGAUCCUUUGCUGAGCUUUUCCCAAGACUGCUGCUCUUUCGGUCCUAGGGCAAACCCCUUUGCACACGCUGGCCUCUCCCCGCCGAACUGGGGCGAAACCCCUUGUUAUCGGCCCGGUAACGCUUCGGGAAGCAGGGUGGCCGGUCUCGGCCGCUCAAUGCUCCCAGGGCUCUCCCAGGAAGGGGAUGCCAGGGGUGAGUGUCCCCCCAGCCGGGCUGCGCGACCUGGAUGAAAGGGGGACCUGGGCUGGCGGCUGUUCCUCGCUGAUAUUCAGAGACCCCGUGCAGACCGGGCAUCCACGCUGCAGCCGCCAUAAAAGCCUGCGGGCGACUGGGGGAGCCGUGGGGCGCGGGGACAGCCAGGCGGAGCCCCGAAACGGGAGGCGGCCCGCCCCGUGCUCCCGGCGGGGAGGCGGCGGCGGCGGCAGCAGCGGGCAGCGCCGCCCGGCGGGCGGGGCGCGGGCUAUAAAUCCGCCCCGCGGCAGCAGACGGGCGGUGGUUGGGACGCGGCGGUGGCGGCAGAGCAGUAUCGUGGCAGAUAUCAGCUACUGACCAUGUCAACAGAGUUCCAGGAUGCUCACCUUGCGGAGGUGAAACCUCUGGUGGAGAAGGAGGAGGUAAUUAUUUUAAAGUUUUCUAGAGCUUAUGUGUUUUAUUUCAGGGCUGCUGUUGGAACUGCACAUGUGUUCUUGGAUUAGUUCUAACCUAUUGUAAUGGAAGAAACAAGUAAGGGAAACCGGAGAUGGAAUAAGAGUGUUGGGUUUUGUUUUUUUUUUUUUUAAUAAUGCAAACCAGCCUUAAUUAUUUGCUAUUUCUUGAUCUUUGGUUUUACUCUUCUCUAGUCCUACUCUGGUGACACUUCUUGUUUUCUAAAUCAUGACAGUUCUGGGUGUCUUUAUGUCUUUAGCCAUUUGGAGUGAUGCCGGUUGUGCUGUAUCACAUAUAUCCAUCUAUGCCUAUAGACUUCUCAACGUAAAGAUACCAACGUUGCUCUCUUAGCUACCUUUCAGGGAGGCACAGAGAGAGCCUUUGCUUUUCCUUUGGGCACAUCUGAGUCCAGAGAUACAACUGUGCCCCAUCUAGUCCUCUCUGCCUGCACUGAGCUAUGAGUUACAGCUAAACUGCUACCAGGUCUGCAGCCGUUGGGUGUGCACAAGCUGCAGCCUUUCCUCUGGGGCUGCAGUGUAGAAACACCCUAGCCUUUUUCUUGCUUCACCUUGUUGUACUUCUUUCCAUUUGUUUUUGCAUCAUUUUCUUCAAAACUCUGCCCACAGCAUCUAGGUUAGUGGCUGUCUGACUCUGGUGGUAGCAGCGCUCUGCGCUUUGAUAUGUUUGUGGCAAAUGUAAUGCAUGAAGGAACCUCUCUGUUUAUUUCUUGAAUCAAAACAAGAUUUUUUCUUUUGUUUCUAAUGAUUGUAAUUCUUGACAAUGACAUGUAUAAGCAUGUUGGGUUUUUUCCCUGGUUUUCUACACUAGAACUAUUCAUGACUGUCUCUGCUACUUUCUUUUUUAUUCCCUACCUCUUUUGUGUAAACACUUCAGAAAAUGAUUUCCACUUGCGACUGCAGUGAAAUGGCUGGAGGAACUUUAAACACAGCUCCUUUGCCAAGGACAUUGCGUGAAAGCAGAGCUUGUUUGGGUACCAGUGAAUGCAGCACUCAGACUUUUCAGAAACUAAGAUCCCUUUUUAAUGCCAAUAUUGUUUGGUAGUAGCAAAGCAAGGGGGAUUCUCAGCAGAAGUCCUACGGGUGCUGAAAUGCUUUUGCUUCAAAGUUCAGAAAUAUCUUAAAACACUGAUUAACUUCCUGAGUUUCUGUAGCAUGUAGCUCAAAAGUUGGAAUCUUGGCCAUGAACCCUAUGUGCAUCUAUUCACAAUGUUACUUUAACUGUUGUCUACAUGGAGAAACCAGCAGAGUUUGAUUUCCUCUGUGGCCAUUCUUAAUAUAGAUGAAGGAAGUCGCUUCGUGUGUUUUGAGAAAGUGGAAAGAUUGCCCUGAAGGACACACAGCACACACUAGGGUUAAUAGUGGAGCUGGUGAUACACUCUGAAGUCGCAUCCUGGCUUGUUGUGCUUGGGUUUCUCCUACAGCUGAGUCUUUGUUCCUUAACAAUGAUGAGCCUUGCUUCGUAUGCUGCCUGUAUGGGUGCCACGUAAACUUAAUUCCUUUCCACUUUGGACCCCACUGGAGCAACAGUGUACGACAUUUACUAUGUUUAAAAGAUCAUGAGGCCAACAGUAUAGUAAAAUUAAAUGCCAGCAUGUUCUCUAAAGCUAAGGUUGUGUACCGUGACUUCCACAAGCUCAGUCAGCUCUUUAGCUACUUGUUUGUGAGUGCAAGACACUGCCUAAUUGCCUAAAGAUCACGGCUCUAGAGUCCUGUCAUAAUUACCAGUUGGGCUGUGGUGCUUUGAGGUCCACAGUCUUGAGAUGAUACUGCCCAAUAAUAAGACAUUUUCUGUCAUUAGUCUACCUGGGCUUCUGGGACUGAGAGAUGCCCUCGCUAGGAUCUUAAGCUUUGAUUUUUUUUUUCUUGAUACCCUUGUCAAGCUUUGGCUUUUCUGUCGUACUCUGCAGCAUAGAAAGUGUUUGCUUUGCUGUUCUUCCCUCUGUUUUCAGCCCUCUGAGGGAAAUUAGAGUUUGACUUCUUCCUUGCCUAUUAAUAAAAGGAGGUGACUGUGAGAUACUUCCUCCUUUGAAGUAAGGUGCCUUUUAGACUACUGGAAGUGAGGAGGACUUCACCUAACUUCUUUUCUGGUGGAGAUCUUCGACAGGCAUGGGAGCUUCUCAGUAACAGUGAUGGCCAUGAGUUGAAACAGACCUCUCUCUGUCCAGCCAGCCUCCCAAACAUAACCUAAUUUUGGCUGGGAUAAAACCUUUCCCACCUUCCACAUCAUGUAACCAAAUCCCAGUAACGACUGCUUAACCGAGUUGCAAGUGCUCGGUGCAUGCUGGAGCAGUGGCUUCCCGUCGUCGGCAGGACUGAGGGGGGCUGUUGGCUGUCCUACGGCUACAAUAAGCAAUCAAGAAAAGGUCGGUGUUUUACUGCUCCAGCCUGUCCAGUGAUUUAAAAAUAGCUGAAGAUGCGCUAGCUUUUGUGAUUUAUUUUGCUGGUCUGUAAUCUAGUAUUUUACUGCUUUCAUGUUCUCUGUGAAGAUUAGUGGGUAAAAGGUCUCGGGUGAAUUUUGAUGUUCAGCUUUCCUUGAAGGAAGGGACGGGACAGAGCUCUUGGCUGCAGAACCAGGGGGUUAGAACACACGUGUCCCAGCACAGGUUUCUGUAGCUGCACAAGUUACUUGCAUUAAUACUUUGAAAUCUCUUCACAGGCUAUCACUCGCCUCCUUCCAGACUUUGAUGUUCAGGCAAGUAAAGCUAUUCCUCUUUUUUUCUUUUUUUAUUUUCCCUUUUGGUACAAGGGGAAACUAAAUGGACAUUUGAGAGAACAGCAAAAUGUGAUCAGAAAUGACUGACUGCUGGCCAGAAGUACUGUUCCUGUGGGGGAGGGACCUGAAUGGGGCUCUGAUGUAGCAAUGUGAAGGGGACUGCAGGAGGUCUUUUCAGACUGAAGCUAAAAAAGUUUUAUCCAAAAGGGGUGGCUGGGUUGCAGGCAGUUUUAUUCUUCCUAGGAGAAU
ensembl:lncRNA